GGACAUUGGGUGAAGCUCAGUGUGAAACACCGUGAGACUCCAGAUUAAGGUUUAAAUGUUGGCCAAAUGCUCACGUGGGAAUUUUUUUUAGGUCGUGACUUCCUUCUUGGAUGUGGAGGCCAAGGCAUAAGCUGGAGGAUGGAGGGUUGGCGUAACUCUACAAGAAGUGUUUCCUCAGACUUCUGGGUGGAUUCUUGAGUCAAUAGAAACCUGAUACUGCUGAGAAGUAACCAGCUCCUUGGAGCACAGGCUCUUGGGCCCGGAGACAGUGUCAUGCACACCCAUCCAUCCAUUCCUAUUUGGAGCUGAAACCUCCCGAACAGUGAGAGAAGGAAGAUUAGCCCUGAGCUCACAUGUGCUGCCAAUCCUCCUCUUUUUGCUGAGGAAGACUGGCCCUGAGCUAACAUCCAUGCCCAUCUUCCUCUACUCUAUAUGUGGGAUGCCUGCCACAGCAUGGCUUGCCAAACAGUGCCAGGUCUGUACCCGGGGUCUGAACCGGUGAACCCCAGGCUGCCAAAGCGGAAGGUGUGAACUUAACCGCUGUUCCACCAGGCCAGCCCCUGUGCAUAAAGAUUUGACCACUGAAAUCUUUCACAGAAGUAGGUUAGGAGGACAAAGUGUUGAGACAGAAGGAAUUUUUAGCCAGCAACUUCCCAAUAGCAUGAGAUUUCCCUUUUCUUCUUUUUGUUCUUCAGAGGAGAGCAGGUUGUGUGGGGUGAGACAUGACUACCAGCUGCCGAGGCAGGAAAUGCUGUCUCGUGACACCACAUUUUAAAAGGAAGAGAAUUUAGGAAAUGGUAAUAUAUUUAUGAUUUACUUCUUUCCUUGUGUUCAAUGCCACUGACUUCCUCAUGCUUUGUAGUUGCUCAGAAUGUGGCUUGCAAAUCCCAA
ensembl:lncRNA